UGGGGAAUUUUGGACAAUGGGCGAAAGCCUGAUCCAGCAAUGCCGCGUGUGUGAAGAAGGCCUUCGGGUUGUAAAGCACUUUUGUCCGGAAAGAAAUCCUCUGGGUUAAUACCUCGGGGGGAUGACGGUACCGGAAGAAUAAGCACCGGCUAACUACGUGCCAGCAGCCGCGGUAAUACGUAGGGUGCAAGCGUUAAUCGGAAUUACUGGGCGUAAAGCGUGCGCAGGCGGUUUUGUAAGACGGAUGUGAAAUCCCCGGGGCUUAACCUGGGAACUGCAUUCGUGACUGCAAGGCUAGAGUAUGGCAGAGGGGGGUAGAAUUCCACGUGUAGCAGUGAAAUGCGUAGAGAUGUGGAGGAAUACCGAUGGCGAAGGCAGCCCCCUGGGCCAAUACUGACGCUCAUGCACGAAAGCGUGGGGAGCAAACAGGAUUAGAUACCCUGGUAGUCCACGCCCUAAACGAUGUCAACUAGUUGUUGGGGAUUCAUUUCCUUAGUAACGUAGCUAACGCGUGAAGUUGACCGCCUGGGGAGUACGGUCG
rnacentral:rRNA from 1 species